CCUACGGGUGGCAGCAGUGAGGAAUAUUGGUCAAUGGACGAGAGUCUGAACCAGCCAAGUAGCGUGAAGGAUGACUGCCCUAUGGGUUGUAAACUUCUUUUAUAUGGGAAUAAAAUGUUCCACGUGUGGGAUUUUGUAUGUACCAUAUGAAUAAGGAUCGGCUAACUCCGUGCCAGCAGCCGCGGUAAUACGGAGGAUCCGAGCGUUAUCCGGAUUUAUUGGGUUUAAAGGGAGCGUAGGUGGAUUGUUAAGUCAGUUGUGAAAGUUUGCGGCUCAACCGUAAAAUUGCAGUUGAAACUGGCAGUCUUGAGUACAGUAGAGGUGGGCGGAAUUCGUGGUGUAGCGGUGAAAUGAUUAGAUAUCACGAAGAACUCCGAUUGCGAAGGCAGUUCACUGGACUGCAACUGACACUGAGGCUCGAAAGUGUGGGUAUCAAACAGGAUUAGAUACCCUUGUAGUC
rnacentral:rRNA from 1 species